CCAUCCAUCCAUCCAUCCAUCCAUCCAUCCAUCCAUCCAUCCAUCCAUCCAUCCAUCCAUCCAUCCAUCCGAAACACCAUGCAACACACCAGUUUCUGCAGAAACGGGUUAUUUGCAUUCCUCUCAAUGUGCCAAACAGUGUCUUUAUGAGCUGUGUUGAUGCUGACUCGACCGCAGCUACUGGCUCCCUGCAGCCCGGUUGCAGACAGGGCCCCCCGUACCCAACCGCGGGGUCUACCAUGCAGGUAAAAAGAAGCAGAAUGAACGCCAGUGGGACAUCCGCGAAUUUGACAGCUGCACGGAGCCCUUUUCCCCCUCUAGAGUCGUAAUUUCAGAUAAUAUCCCCGAGUCGUGCGCCUUCUCCUCUCUCUGACAAUUUGUAGAUGAAUAACCGAAUAAUUUCCCCCCCUUUUGUUCCAUCCGUUGCUACCUCAAAUCCAAAUAAAGAUGGCUUUUUAGUAUUAAAAGUGGUAGAAAAUUACAGGUAAUUAUCUUUGACGGUAAAAACGCUGUAAUCAGCGGGGCUACAUCAAAAAUUACCCUAAUUAUGCCUGCAUUUAUGAGAAUGGAGGGGUGGAAAAAAAAAGAGAAAAAAAGGCUCACUUGGAUAAAAACCCACAAAUUGUCACAAAUAUCUCCUUCAUAUUGAACGCCGCUGCAGCUGGCUGCUUUGUUCAAGCAUCGAUCCCUGUGGAGCUUGGCAUUUCAGGACGGAGGGAAGGGAGAAAACAUUUUGUCAAUACUUCUAAUAAUUGAGGGUGAAGCGACGAGAUGAGCUGGACCUGGAGCAAAUGUCUUUGGGGCCUCUGGUCUCUAUCCUCUUCCCUCUUCAUACCCACUCCAUCCCUUCUCUCUCUCUCCCAUCAACUCUAACCCCCCCAUACCUCUCUCCAUUUUCUGCUUUCCUCCCCUCACCCCUUUCUCACCCCCAAUAGGUACGCCUCCAUCCACUCUUGGCAGCCACAUCUCUUCCUCGCUGCCCCCCCCUCCACCCCCUCCUCAUCCUGCCUGGCUCUCCCACCCCUCUCCCUGGUUGGUUUCCACAGCUGUGGUGAGUGAGGGGCAGAUGACCGGAGAAUUGGCCCCUGGGAGAGCGCUGAGCCAUCCUGGUGCUAUUAGGCUCGUGGCUAAUAAUAGGUGUUUCAGACCAGGGGAAGAUCAAUCAGGGGGAAUCAUGGGGAAUGUUCAGAGCAGCGCUUUUUACACAUCGGCCCAGAUGGAUGAAAUUACACUUGUCAGUUUUUAGUUGCAUUACUCCCAAAUUGGUUGUCUACUCUUUUUUUUUUCCCCCACCCUACCUCCCUCAUCUCUCCUUUCUCUCUCUUUGCCCCCCAUUCAUGUGUCAGUGGCCUGCUAAAAGGAUUCGCCGGUGAAAUCCCUGUCAUUUUUGUCUUUUGCCUGUUUAGCCCUCAGGCAACAACUCCAUUGCCUAGCAUGUAUGCACUUAGAAAGCAUCAACUCACGUCUUAGGGGCUCGGCCAAUUUCCAUGUUAAAGCCAAGUCUGCCGUUGACAUUCUGUGUGCGUUCUGCAUGCAUAAUAAAGCCAUUUGGUUUUGUCACAGUCAAACGUUCAGAGGACGACCAAAGAAAGUAGCGGAUGAGGAGAACAAUAGAUUUGCACCAACGUUAACAGUUUGUUAAACAAGGAAUUGCUUCACAUAUUGAUAAAGUAAAGAUCCAGAGCAAGGUAAGCAAUUACGCUGAUGAUGGACUUUAAUUUAAGGUACACAAAAAGUAUAA